rnacentral:misc_RNA from 1 species
UUCCCUCCAUAUCAAAUCGAAAUAUCAGAGACGGGCAAUUACCAGCUCACAGCCAGUUAUAAGCUUCUUUGUCUUUUCUCUCUAGCAUUUCCUCCGCUCUAUUCUCAGUUUCUCACAGCUCCUCAAAGCACAGCGGAGAACCAGAACUGAGCUAUUAGCUGCCGAGACAAUUAUAAUUCUACUUCUCAGUCCUAAUCCCUCUCAGACUUGCACCUAGGCCC